GAUGAACACUGGCGGCGUGCCUAAUACAUGCAAGUCGAGCGAAUGGAUUAAGAGCUUGCUCUUAUGAAGUUAGCGGCGGACGGGUGAGUAACACGUGGGUAACCUGCCCAUAAGACUGGGAUAACUCCGGGAAACCGGGGCUAAUACCGGAUAACAUUUUGAACCGCAUGGUUCGAAAUUGAAAGGCGGCUUCGGCUGUCACUUAUGGAUGGACCCGCGUCGCAUUAGCUAGUUGGUGAGGUAACGGCUCACCAAGGCAACGAUGCGUAGCCGACCUGAGAGGGUGAUCGGCCACACUGGGACUGAGACACGGCCCAGACACCUACGGGAGGCAGCAGUAGGGAAUCUUCCGCAAUGGACGAAAGUCUGACGGAGCAACGCCGCGUGAGUGAUGAAGGCUUUCGGGUCGUAAAACUCUGUUGUUAGGGAAGAACAAGUGCUAGUUGAAUAAGCUGGCACCUUGACGGUACCUAACCAGAAAGCCACGGCUAACUACGUGCCAGCAGCCGCGGUAA
rnacentral:rRNA from 1 species